GAUCCCUGCAUCACUGCCACCUCUGCUGAACACCAACUCCAGCUCCCUGGAGUCAAGGGCUGAGCCUCGCUCUCUGGCGUCCUCCUUUAUGAAGUCCUGGAUGAAAACCACACAGCAAGAACCUACACUCUGUCUGACCUAAAACUUGACUAAAAUAGUGAAUGGUUUUAGUGAAUCAUAGAGUUUGGAAGGAUCUGAAAAUGUUUUACUCCCCCCAAAACCUCUUGUCCUGACUCCAUCUCAGCAUCUACUUCCUGGAGGAUUCAGCUGCCACACUUGUCUUGGUGUGGCUGGAAGAUAGAGACUGAAGGGGAGAGGCGUGAGACCAGGCUGUAGAGGUAAGCAAAGCUGGAACACGCAGGCUAGGUAUUUUUCACUUUACCAUUAGGGCAGUUUGGAAGACACUGCCUGUUUUUAAGCAGAUUGGGGAGGAGUGGGGGAAAUCAUCAAAUGUAAAUGUAGAAUAACCACUCUGGCUAGGGAGGGCUGGAGGACUGUGAGACUGAAGGCAAUUGCUGGAGUCUAAGAAGAGGGGGUGGUGUCUUGGACUGAGGUGAACCAGAGACAGCAAAGAUUUGAGAGAUAUUUAAAAGGUAAAAUCUCCAAAAUUUUGUGUUUUACUGGAUGUGGAUGAUAAGGUAAAAGUCAAGGAUGCCCAGACCUCUGGCUUGAGCUAUUGUAUAAAGUGGUGCCAGAUACUGAAACCGGGGGUCCUGAGGGAAGCAGGUCUGGGAGGAGAAUCAAAAGAGCUCAGCUUUGGACAUGCAGAGUUUCAGAUGCCGUGGGACAUCCAGGAGCACUAUAAAGUAGAGAGCUGAAUAUAUGGUUUUGGAGUAUGCAGGCUGAGAUGCAGACUGGUUAUAUCCAUUUGGGUGUUCUCAGCAUAUAGUUGGGAGCAAAUGAGAUCACCCAGGAGAGGGGCAAUGUGUUGAGAGAGGCCCAAGACAUUGACCUUGGAAACUCCAGCAUAUGAUGUUCUGGUAGAGGACAGAGGUUAGCAGAUGAGACUUAGGCCAGUGAAUAUGGAGUCACAGAAAUUUUGAGAGGGUUUUGGGUAAAAAGGGGAUAUCAGAUGCUGCUGAGUGUCUAAGCAAGGUAAAGAGUGAAAAAUAUUCUUUUGUUUUAGUGACAUGGAGGUCAUUGGUGGUCUUAGUAAGAACCAUUUCAAUGAAGUGGUAGAGAUGAAAGCCAGACUGAAGUGGGUCAAAGAGUGAGGGAAAUGGAAGAAGUUGAGAUAGUAAGUGUUGCAACUCUUUCAGGAAAUUUGGUUCUAGAGGAGGAGGGAAAAGGCAGUAGUUAGGGGGAAAUGUGGAGAUAAGGUUGUUUUUUUGUUUGUUUUUUGGCUGCAUUGGGUCUUCCUUGUUGUGCACAGGCUUUUUCUAGUUGCGGUGAGCAGGGGCUACUCUUCAUUGCAAUGUGCUGGCUUCUCAUUGUGGUGGCUUCUCUUGUUACGGAGCAUGGGCCCUAGAGUGCAGGCUUCAGUAGUCGUGGUGUGUGGGCUCAGUAGUUGUGGUGCGCAGGCUUAGAUGCUCCACGGCAUAUGGGAUCUUCCCAGACCAGGGAUGGAACCUGUGUCCUCUGCAUUGGCAGGCGGAUUCUUAACCACUGCACCACCAGGGAAGUCCCAUGGAGAUAAGGUUUUAUGUUUGCUUUGUUUUUAGGAGAGCAGAGACUUGAGUGUGGUUGAAUGUUGAUGGGAAGGAGCCAGUGCAGAAGGUAGAGGAGAAAGUGAUAAUCAAAGGCACAAGAUCUCUGAGAAAGUGGGAUGAUGGUGGGGACAGGGCUCUAAGGCCCAGGAAGAGGGACUGACAUUGGAGAGAAGAAAUGCCACCCCUGUUUUUUGGAAUAGGAGGGAAGGAGAAAGGUGUGGAUACAGAUGCUGUUGGAGCUGUAGGUUCAGUGGUGGGAGGUGACUAGGAGACAGGGAAGGUGGAAGGUUGGAGGAGAGUGGAGAAGGAGGUUUAAAAUAGUCUUUAGAUAGUGGGAAAUGAGCUUUUUGAUGGACUACCAGGCAUCUUACCAGGAAAUGAGGCAGGCCCAGCUAAUUUUAAAAACUGUUUAUUAUGAAAAUUUUCAAGUGGCUACAAAGUAAACAGAAUUGUAUAAUGAACUCAAUGUAACUAUCACCAGCUUCAAAUAUUAUUAACAUUCUACCAAUCCUGUUUCAUCUUUGCUUCCACCCACUCACUUCCCAUUGUUGUUUGACUAUUAUUUUGUUUUUUGCAGUUAUUUUUAAGGUAAGAUUUACAAGUAUGGACAUGCAAAAAAGUUAAUUACAUAAUUUUGACAGAUACACAUGUAUAACUCACACCCCUAUAAUAAUAGAGAAUGUUUCAAUCUCCCCCAAAAUCUCCAUCCUCUCUUUUCUCCAUCAGUCCCUCCCUCUGUCCCCCAGAGAGAACCACUGUUCUGAUUAUUUUCACUUUAGAUUAGUUUUGUCUCUUCUAGAACUUCUUGCAAAUGGAAUCAUACAGUAUGUACUCUUUUGUGUAUAGCUUGUUUUGCUUAGCAUUAUGUUUGUGAGAUUUAUCCACGUUGGUGUAUAUAUCAGUAGUCUGUUUCUUCAUAUUUCUGAGUAAUUUUUAAAAUUGAAGUAGAGUUGAUCAACAAUAUUGUGUUAAUUUCUGCUGUACAUCGAAGCGAUUCAGUUAUAUAUAUGUAUACAUUCUUUUUUAUGCUCUUUUCCAUUAUGGUUUAUCACAGCAUAUUGAAUAUAGUUCCCUGUGCUAUACAGUAGGACCCUGUUGUUUAUUCUGAGUAAUUAUUUAAUUGUAAGAAUAUGCCAUAACUUGUUUAUCCAUUCAACUGCUGAAGGACAUUUGGGUUGUUUGCUGUUUUAUAGUGUUACAAAUAA